CCUGGAGGCUUAGAUGGUCAAGAAUCUGCCUGCAACGCAGGAGACCCAGGUUCGAUCCCUGGGUCAGGA
rnacentral:tRNA from 1 species